rnacentral:rRNA from 1 species
UACGAAGGGUGCAAACGUUGCUCGGAAUCAUUGGGCGUAAAGCGCACGUAGGCGGCCUUGCAAGUCGGAUGUGAAAUCCCACGGCUCAACCGUGGACGUGCAUCCGAAACUGCUCGGCUCGAGUAUGGAAGAGGGUCGCGGAAUUCCCGGUGUAGAGGUGAAAUUCGUAGAUAUCGGGAGGAACACCAGUGGCGAAGGCGGCGACCUGGGCCAAUACUGACGCUGAGGUGCGAAAGCGUGGGGAGCAAACGGG